CAUGAAGAAAGCAGUGCCGCUGAUAAAUGCAAUAGAUACCGGACGGUUCCCACGCCUUCUUAUCCGAAUUCUUCAAAAGCUCCACCUGAAGGCCGAGAGCAGCUUCAGUGAAGAAGAGGAAGAAAAACUUCAGGCUGCAUUCUCUCUAGAGAAACAAGAGCUUCACCUCAUUCUGGAAAUAAUAUCGUUUAUUCUGGAGCAGGCAGUGUACCACAAUGUAAAGCCAGCCGCACUGCAGCAGCAACUGGAGAAUAUUCAUUUUACGCAAGACAAAGCAGAAGCAUUUGCCAACGCCUGGUCGGCUAUGGGUCAAGAAACAGUUGAGAAGUUCAGGCAGAGGAUUCUGGGCCCUCAUAAGCUCGAGACAGUGGGAUGGCAGCUUAACCUGCAAAUGGCUCAUUCGGCUCAAGCAAAGCUGCAGUCUCCUCAGGCCGUGCUGCAACUGGGAGUGAGCCAAGAAGACUCCAAGGUGAGAAACCACGCCCUGAGGAAAUGAGAACCUGGAGAAGGUUCUAGUGGAAUUCAAUCACAAGGAGCUAUUUGAUUUCUACAACAAGCUGGAGACCAUACAAGCACAGCUGGAUUCCCUCACAUGAUGCUCUUGAAGGCCGGCUUCUCCAUCACAUUCCUGCCACCUCACUCUUUUGCACUGAAGAGAAACUGCCCGUGUAUAUUUCUUAGAGGACUCUGACUUUAUUUUAAUAUGACUUUUCACUUCUUAAGCAAAUACCAGUGAAGGGAGAUCAUAAUAAGAGCACUGGGGUUUCUGGUAUACCCUUUCUCCUCACAAGAGCCAAGAGCCAUUGUUGAAAAAACUGAAAGAAAUCAAAAAUGAGUGCCAUAUUGCUUCUUCUGUCAGAUUGCUGCAUCAUCACUUUGUCUCAAUCUUGCUUUCAUGGAUCAAUGAAGGUCUGUAGAAGGAAGGUAGGAUGUGUGCCCUAGCAGAAUAUGGAAACUUAUAAUUACAUUACUUAAUUAGGGAGGCAGCCCCAGGCCAUCACAUGUUUUGACAUUUGUCUUAUUUUGCUUGAGAUAUAAUCCUAAAAGGAAAUCUAAAAUGGUGCAGUACUAUUAUAAGUUAAUUCCAGUGUGAUCCUCUUGCUCUGCCCGCUUGACUUUUUCUGACUGUAAUGAUUUAAUAAUCGUCUAGGUUUAUAUAUACUAUUGCAAAUUAAUUACAGUGCACUUUACAGUAUGGAGACAUAUUCAGAUUGUGAAUGAAAACACCUGUAAUGAGUAUUACGUGGGAAUCUGACUUUUUAAAUCAGAAACUGCAUUCCCCUGUGGAUACAAUCAGUCAAUGGUGUCAGUCAAUAAAAAUUUCUACUUUAGAAUUACUUAA